rnacentral:rRNA from 1 species
AGUGAACGCUGGCGGUAGGCCUAACACAUGCAAGUCGAACGGCAGCACAGUAAGAGCUUGCUCUUACGGGUGGCGAGUGGCGGACGGGUGAGGAAUACAUCGGAAUCUACUUUUUCGUGGGGGAUAACGUAGGGAAACUUACGCUAAUACCGCAUACGACCUACGGGUGAAAGCAGGGGAUCUUCGGACCUUGCGCGAUUGAAUGAGCCGAUGUCGGAUUAGCUAGUUGGCGGGGUAAAGGCCCACCAAGGCGACGAUCCGUAGCUGGUCUGAGAGGAUGAUCAGCCACGCUGGAACUGAGACACGGUCCAGACUACUACGGGAGGCAGCAGUGGGGAAUAUUGGACAAUGGGCGCAAGCCUGAUCCAGCCAUACCGCGUGGGUGAAGAAGGCCUUCGGGUUGUAAAGACCUUUUGUUGGGAAAGAAAAGCAGCAGGUUAAUACCCCGCUGUUCUGACGGUACCCAAAGAAUAAGCACCGGCUAACUUCGUG